UACAGAGGGGGCAAGCGUUAUUCGGAAUUAUUGGGCGUAAAGGGCGCGUAGGCGGCAUGGCAAGUGGAUGGUGAAAUCCCUCGGCUUAACCGAGGAACUGCCGUCCAAAACUGCUUCGCUUGAGACCGGGAGAGGUGAGUGGAAUUCCCAGUGUAGCGGUGAAAUGCGUAGAUAUUGGGAGGAACACCAGUGGCGAAGGCGGGCUCACUGGACCGGUACUGACGCUGAUGCGCGAAAGCGUGGGGAGCAAACGGG
rnacentral:rRNA from 1 species